rnacentral:piRNA from 1 species
UAGAAAAGGGAAAGAUUUGUCUACAGUUC